UCAGUCUGAACUAAAUCCAUACAACCUUAAAAGAGCUCAAUUCAUUUGUGUCGAAACAACAAAAAAUAAUGAUUCAAGUCAAACUACUACUUUUGCGCAUGCGCUGAUGACAGGAAAUCCACGUGACCUCGUCAGUUAUCGCGGGCGCCAUUAUGUGGUGGAGUCCAGUCUAUGGUGGAAUGCUGUAGAAUUGGUUUUUACAAGAGCUCAUUAAAUAGCAAUCCUAUACUUGGGUUAUAGUCUACUUUUUCACAUGGUUUACAAGAGCAAUAAACAGCAUCCCAUGCUUGGGUUUUAGUAAACUUUUUCAUGUGAACAACAGCGUAGACAUGGAAAGAGAAUGCAUCCUCAAAAAGCACUGUGUGUAUACUUAAAGGAGGACCAUCUACAGCUGUUCAAGGAGUACAAUAAAACGUGCAAAUACUGAGUUCUCUUUCAAGUCUUGUGCUUCAGAGGCCG